rnacentral:rRNA from 1 species
UACAGAGGUCUCAAGCGUUGUUCGGAUUCAUUGGGCGUAAAGGGUGUGUAGGUGGCGCCGUAAGUCGGGUGUGAAAUUUCGGAGCUUAACUCCGAAACUGCAUUCGAUACUGCCGUGCUUGAGGACUGGAGAGGAGACUGGAAUUUACGGUGUAGCGGUGAAAUGCGUAGAUAUCGUAAGGAAGACCAGUGGCGAAGGCGGCACUCUGGGCCGGAACUGACGCUGAGGAGCGAAAGGCGUGGGGAGCGAACAGG